GCCCUCGUAGCUCAGUGGAUAGAGCGAUCGCCUCCUAAGUGAUAGGUCGCAGGUUCAACUCCUGCCGAGGGCACCA
rnacentral:tRNA from 1 species